GGACAGAAAGACCCUAUGAAGCUUUACUGUAGCCUGGAAUUGGGUUCGGGCUUUGCUUGCGCAGGAUAGGUGGGAGGCUAUGAGCGUAUCCUUGUGGGGAUACAGGAGCCAACGGUGAGAUACCACUCUAGCAAGGCUAGAAUUCUAACCUUGAACCAUGACCUGGUCGAGGAACAGUUUCAGGUGGGCAGUUUGACUGGGGCGGUCGCCUCCCAAAAGGUAACGGAGGCGCGCAAAGGUUCUCUCAGGCUGGUUGGAAAUCAGCCGUAGAGUGUAAAGGCAGAAGAGAGCUUGACUGUGAGACCUACAAGUCGAACAGGGACGAAAGUCGGCCUUAGUGAUCCGACGGUGCCGCGUGGAAGGGCCGUCGCUAAACGGAUAAAAGUUACUCUAGGGAUAACAGGCUGA
rnacentral:rRNA from 1 species